rnacentral:snoRNA from 1 species
GUGCCAUUCCCCCUGUCCACCUGUGGCCACUGUUCUAGUGGCCACGCCGGGCAAUCCGGGGCGUGGCACUUGGCCGGGCGCCCUUCCCUAGAGAGUUGAAUUACCUGAGUGGGGGGAGGACGACGACUUGUUGUUGUUGUCCCCCUGCAAACCAUCUAAUUCCUAGUUGGGAAGGUUACAUUU